rnacentral:rRNA from 1 species
UAGGGAAUCUUCGGCAAUGGGGGCAACCCUGACCGAGCAACGCCGCGUGAGUGAAGAAGGUUUUCGGAUCGUAAAGCUCUGUUGUAAGUCAAGAACGAGUGUGAGAGUGGAAAGUUCACACUGUGACGGUAGCUUACCAGAAAGGGACGGCUAACUACGUGCCAGCAGCCGCGGUAAUACGUAGGUCCCGAGCGUUGUCCGGAUUUAUUGGGCGUAAAGCGAGCGCAGGCGGUUUGAUAAGUCUGAAGUUAAAGGCUGUGGCUCAACCAUAGUUCGCUUUGGAAACUGUCAAACUUGAGUGCAGAAGGGGAGAGUGGAAUUCCAUGUGUAGCGGUGAAAUGCGUAGAUAUAUGGAGGAACACCGGUGGCGAAAGCGGCUCUCUGGUCUGUAACUGACGCUGAGGCUCGAAAGCGUGGGGAGCGAACAGGAUUAGAUACCCUGGUAGUCCACGCCGUAAACGAUGAGUGCUAGGUGUUGGAUCCUUUCCGGGAUUCAGUGCCGCAGCUAACGCAUUAAGCACUCCGCCUGGGGAGUACGACCGCAAGGUUUG